rnacentral:rRNA from 1 species
AGUUUUGGACCUGGCUCAGAGCGAACGCUGGCGGCAGGCUUAACACAUGCAAGUCGAACGGGCGUAGCAAUACGUCAGUGGCAGACGGGUGAGUAACGCGUGGGAACGUACCUUUUGGUUCGGAACAACACAGGGAAACUUGUGCUAAUACCGGAUAAGCCCUUACGGGGAAAGAUUUAUCGCCGAAAGAUCGGCCCGCGUCUGAUUAGCUAGUUGGUGAGGUAAUGGCUCACCAAGGCGACGAUCAGUAGCUGGUCUGAGAGGAUGAUCAGCCACAUUGGGACUGAGACACGGCCCAAACUCCUACGGGAGGCAGCAGUGGGGAAUAUUGGACAAUGGGGGCAACCCUGAUCCAGCCAUGCCGCGUGAGUGAUGAAGGCCCUAGGGUUGUAAAGCUCUUUUGUGCGGGAAGAUAAUGACGGUACCGCAAGAAUAAGCCCCGGCUAAA